UUUUAUGGCGGUUGUGCGUGGGAGACCUUAUGGUCUGCCGGGUUAUGGUAAUAGUCCCCCGGUCUGCGAACCCGCGCACAGCUGCCACCCAU
rnacentral:antisense_RNA from 1 species